rnacentral:rRNA from 1 species
UACAGAGGGUGCAAGCGUUAAUCGGAAUUACUGGGCGUAAAGCGCGCGUAGGUGGUUCGUUAAGUUGGAUGUGAAAUCCCCGGGCUCAACCUGGGAACUGCAUUCAAAACUGUCGAGCUAGAGUAUGGUAGAGGGUGGUGGAAUUUCCUGUGUAGCGGUGAAAUGCGUAGAUAUAGGAAGGAACACCAGUGGCGAAGGCGACCACCUGGACUGAUACUGACACUGAGGUGCGAAAGCGUGGGGAGCAACAGG